CCUCCUCGUCUUGGCGGGGUCUGUGUGCGGUCCCAGGCUCCGUUAUAUGUGGAGCAGAGGGUUAGGGGCGCCCGCCCCCUGGCGGCAAGUCUUCGGUGCCGGUGGUUUCCAGUCCGCCGGUUCUAUCCUCAAGCCCUGGGACACGG